rnacentral:lncRNA from 1 species
AAUUGUUCCAACCCAUAAGAAGGAGUUUCAAUGAUAUCGUGAUAGGGAUCACAAUAUAUCUCACUACCAAACAGAAUAGAACCUAUGGAGUCACACAUAAUAGAGGUAUUGAUCGAUCCGAUGGUUGAGUUGUGAUUUGGAAUCACAAUAGUUCAUGAUUAUCAAUUUGAUUGAUAAUUAAUUAACCCACUAAGAGUUAGUGAGUUGAAGAAG